CCCCCUCUGGCUCUCUCUCUCCCCCAAUCAUUAGCUGUAAGCUUUUCAUUAUUGUCCCCUAAGUGAUCCGAUCCUUUGACCAAUAGGACAUGUGUGGUUUUAGUUCUUUAACAAAGUCCCUGUUGUGGGACCAAGCCUAUAAGCAUGCCAAAUAUUGGAAGCCACCAUUUCCAAAAUGUAGGCAGCAGUGGUCUAGAUGUUACAAAGAUUAUUAAAUGUAAAAAGAGGUCAAAAUUAAUUUUCUAUAAGUAUUUGUGGUACAGCCAAAUUUAAGCAUUAAAGCACAGUAGGGAUCUUAGGUAGAGCCCGGAAUUUAGGGUCUGUAGGGGAUGUUCCACUGAUGAUCAAUUCCUAUCUUUCUGUACUCUUUCAAGACAAAUCUAAACUGUAUUUUACUUCUGGGAAGUUUCAUCCAGAUGUAUCCUGAUACUGACGAGGUGGCCUGAUGAGUUAUGGAUCCUCUAGAAUUUUAGAGUCUGUCAUUGUUUUUAAAGAUCGCCUGAACUGUCUGCCACAUCACAAGAACCUGAAAGUAACACUGGACAUUGAAAAGGAGAUCGGGUAAAGAUAACUAUAAGAGCUUUUCACAUCCUGGUGAUCGAAAAACGAGAUGUAUAAAGACAGUCCCGCAGGCAUCUCCUAAGGCUCACUCUAAUGCAACAUCAGGUACUUCUGGACAAACAAAAACCCAUGAGCGUGAUCUUUGAAUAUGUUGAUACUGACACUCUUUGGUAAUUUUGGAUCUACUGGGAACCGCCACAGCCUGAGAAAGACGGAAUGCACUGGAUGGGAUUUACAGGAGAAUCAUUUUAAGUAAUAAAAAUCUAAAAUGAAACCUA